CCUACGGGAGGCUGCAGUAGGGAAUCUUCCACAAUGGGCGAAAGCCUGAUGGAGCAACGCCGCGUGGGUGAAGAAGGUCUUCGGAUCGUAAAACCCUGUUGUUAGAGAAGAAAGUGCGUGAGAGUAACUGUUCACGUUUCGACGGUAUCUAACCAGAAAGCCACGGCUAACUACGUGCCAGCAGCCGCGGCAAUACGUAGGUGGCAAGCGUUAUCCGGAUUUAUUGGGCGUAAAGGGAACGCAGGCGGUCUUUUAAGUCUGAGGUGAAAGCCUUCGGCUUAACCGGAGUAGUGAAGUGGAAACUGGGAGACGUGAGUGCAGAAGAGGAGAGUGGAACUCCAGGUGUAGCGGUGAAAUGCGUAGAUAUAUGGCAGAACACCAGUGGCGAAAGCGGCUCUCUGGUCUGUAACUGACGCUGAGGUUCGAAAGCGUGGGUAGCAAACAGGAUUAGAUACCCGGGUAGUC
rnacentral:rRNA from 1 species